CUACGUGCCAGCAGCCGCGGUAAUACGGAGGGUGCGAGCGUUAAUCGGAAUAACUGGGCGUAAAGGGCACGCAGGCGGUGACUUAAGUGAGGUGUGAAAGCCCCGGGCUUAACCUGGGAAUUGCAUUUCAUACUGGGUCGCUAGAGUACUUUAGGGAGGGGUAGAAUUCCACGUGUAGCGGUGAAAUGCGUAGAGAUGUGGAGGAAUACCGAAGGCGAAGGCAGCCCCUUGGGAAUGUACUGACGCUCAUGUGCGAAAGCGUGGGGAGCAAACAGGAUUAGAUACCCUGGUAGUCCACGCUGUAAACGAUGUCGAUUUGGGGAUUGGGCUUUGAGCUUGGUGCCCGUAGCUAACGUGAUAAAUCGACCGCCUGGGGAGUACGGCCGCAAGGUUAAAACUCAAAUGAAUUGACGGGGGCCCGCACAAGCGGUGGAGCAUGUGGUUUAAUUCGAUGCAACGCGAAGAACCUUACCUACUCUUGACAUCCAUGGAAUCUUGUAGAGAUACGAGAGUGC
rnacentral:rRNA from 1 species